UACAGAGGGUGCGAGCGUUAAUCGGAAUACUGGGCGUAAAGCGCACGUAGUCGGCUUUGCAAGUCGGGUGUGAAAUCCCCGGGCUCAACCUGGGAACUGCAUCCGAGACUGCAUUGCUAGAGUAUGGGAGAGGGAAGCGGAAUUUCUGGUGUAGCAGUGAAAUGCGUAGAUAUCAGAAGGAACAUCAGUGGCGAAGGCGGCUUCCUGGACCAAUACUGACGAUCAGGUGCGAAAGCGUGGGGGAGCAAACAGG
rnacentral:rRNA from 1 species